UACGUAGGGUGCAAGCGUUGUCCGGAAUUAUUGGGCGUAAAGAGCUCGUAGGCGGUUUGUUGCGUCGGCUGUGAAAUCCCGAGGCUCAACCUCGGGUCUGCAGUCGAUACGAGCAAACUAGAGUGUUGCAGGGGAGACUGGAAUUCCUGGUGUAGCGGUGAAAUGCGCAGAUAUCAGGAGGAACACCGGUGGCGAAGGCGGGUCUCUGGGCCGAUACUGACGCUGGAGGAGCGAAAGCCGUGGGGGAGCAAACAG
rnacentral:rRNA from 1 species